GCCAUGCCCAGCGGGCCGAGGGAAAGGCUCCGACGGGGCUGCCCGGGUCCUGGCGCACGUCUGCGGACCGACCCUGGGCAUGAAAAGGUCACAGCCGCCAGGGCUGCGUCUCCGACGGUGGCCACCCUAGGUGUGCCGAUCCCGAGAAGCCGGGACCCCGGGUAACCGGCUGCUCAGCGAAGCCUGCCCCCUCCUCGAGUCCGACGGCAGGGCUUCCCGGUCCUGGGAACCCUGUCUGGGCGCUGCUGACCCAUCUCUCUUGUCGGAUGUCAGAGGGGCUAAUGUGGUUUCCAAAACUGGGAGAGAGGACGAAAGGAAGAGCCUGCGCUCUGUACUUGCUUCAAGGAGACGCAAGAAUCAGAGAACUGGCCCCCGCCCAAGACUGUAAGUGAUGGUCCAAGGAUGGGGUGUACCUGUGGGAACUUUGUGUUGCCUGAAGAGGACCCUGGUUUCAGGACUGGGGUCACACAGUACAGAAAUCUUUAUGAGUAGCUGCUCAAAAGGAUGGGAAGCACUUGGCGUAAUAGUCCUAAGAAAAUCAUCCUGUCUCAACCAGAGCUUGAUCUUCUGCCUGCUGCUCUCAGGCUUGAUCAUGAGACUUGCUUUGGCCAACAACCUGCGAGUGGAGGUGAUAUUUGCUGUUUCUGGGCAGAAGCUCUAAGAGCUAGCCCAUAGUUCUCCACGUCCUCUCCCUGAAUCUGUCUUUGUUAGGAUGUCAGCUUGGGUUCUCAGUGAUUCAAAGCUGGUUGUUGACCCAGGAUGGAUGUGCACGAUUUUUAUUGUAUUCUUGCACAGAGAGUACAAGAGCAAUAUCAAGAAACACACAGCUCUAAGAUUCAUAAGUUGAACUCCAGCCCCCAGCCUGGCCGCGUUUGGAGAUGGGAAUUCUUAGGAAGUUAAGUGAGCUCUAAGGGUGGGGUCCCCGCCUCAUAGGAAUAGUGUCUUCUACGAGGAGACACCAGAGGGCGCUCUCGAUGCUCCCACUCCGAGGAAAGGCGAGGGGAGGACCCAGCGAGAAGGUGACCGGCGGCCUGCAAGGGGAAAGAGCCCUCAUCAGGAAUUGCAUCAGCCAGCACCUUGAUCUUGGACUUCUAGCCUUCAGAACUAUGAGGAAAUGAAUUUCUGCUGUUUAUGUCACUCGAUCUACAGUAUUUUGUCAUAACAGCCCAAAAUGCAAUUCAUACAAAAGGAAGUAUUUCAGAGAAGACUAUCAUGACUUUUUUUUGGCCAAGCCUGUGGAAGUUCCUUGGCCAGCAGUAGCCCUGUGAUCAGUGACAAAGCCAAGUCCUUAACCUCUAGGGCACCAGGGUUUAUGGUGAAACUGGAGCAGUGAAUUCUGGUGGAAUUACUUGGGAAUACAGGCAUAUGCAUGACAGUCUGGGGAAGCCAUGUUUGUGUUGUUCGAGGUGAAGAAUUAUCAUCAAUAUGCUGCUUACAUCAUAGGCUGUCCAGUGAAGAUGAAGUUUCCAACAAGGGCCUAGAAGCUCAUGAGCAUAAAGUGCUGGUGCCCUCUCAGGAAGGCUGUGAGCUGGAAGUCACUGCCAGAGAUCGAAUCCACAACCUCAUGGUUCCUAGUCAAAUUCAUUUCUGCUGCGCCAUGACCGGAACUCCGGAUUCUGUGUUUUUAAUGAAUGCACCUGAGGAAUUUUUAUGAUGGUAAGUUUGGUAAACACUGCUUUAGUCCCGCCCAGGUUGGGAUCAGAAUUCUCUUACCCAAAAGGCUGGGCAAGAUUGAGAAGCAGGGCUUCUGGUUUCAGAGGGACAUACAAGCAGUCUGUUAGGAGGCAUCCUGGAGCUAGGAUGCUGUCUGGGGGAGCGGGCUGCCACUUCCUGGGUGCUGGAUUUAGAGGACUGAGGUGUUCACAGUGAGGCUCCGGUGCUCAUGGGAACCGAGGUGACCCUGAGGGAGAGAAUGGCAGUCACGCAUCCCAGCCACAGGUGAGGGCUCUUGACGCAAACGGAAGAUUUAGGCUGGGUAGGAUUCCUAUCUCAUGGCCCAGGGAGGCUGUGGGGAAAGGCCGCUCACUCGUGGGUCAACAGCAGGGGGCGUCUCUCCUGAAAAGGAUCUUGUUCUUGGAUGAUAACCACUGGGGUGAACAGACGGUCCUUAGGAAACCAGAGCUCACCACGGAGACUAGACAGGCAGCGAGGUAACCAGUGUGUUUCAAGCCUUUCUCGUUGGGGUCCAGAUGCGAAAGGAGCUGGUGUCCUUGAAGUUCACGGUCUUGAGUUCAUCAGGGUGGCGGUGGGUGUGCCCUGGGAUAGCUGUCCCUAAGAAGAAGGGAGGACCUGAGCCGGGUGGCGCCGAGGAGCCCCUUCCCGAGGAGCCCCUUCCCACCCGGGAGCCCGCCGCCCUGGAGGGUGCCCUUGGGGUGGAUCUUCCUCAGGUGAGACCAGAGCAGGCAGGUCGAGGUGGGCGUGAGAUGUAAGGGAAUGAUUGGUUGUUUGAUCGGCCCAGAGUGGGACUUAUUGGACCGAGAGGUAAUGCUUUUGGCUCUGAUGGUUCCUAGAAACGGAAUGUUUGUGGCCCCACCGGCCCCCUAUUCAUAGUUUGAAACCUAAUCCCCAAUGUGAAGGUGUUUGGAGGCCCUGGGAGGCGAUUAGGGCAUCAGGGUGGGGCCGAUGCGGAUGGAUUCGUGCCCUUGUAAGCGGAGGAAGAGUCGGAGUUCUCCCAUCGCUGCCUGAGGACGAGGCAAGAACACGGGCUCUGGGAACAGUGAGCUGGCCCUCACCAGACUCAGAAUCUGCUUGAUCCUGGACUUUCCAGCCUCUAGGACUGUGAGAAAUAAAUGUCUGCUGUUU
rnacentral:lncRNA from 1 species